rnacentral:tRNA from 1 species
GCCCGGAUGGCGAAAUUGGUAGACGCAAGGGACUUAAAAUCCCUCGGUGGCAACACUGUACCGGUUCAAGUCCGGUUCCGGGCACCA